CCGUCCUUAUUAUUACCGCCCGUUCCGCCAGCUUUACCCUGUGAAGGCACAACAGUAAGCGGGAUGGGCAAAGCCCCAGAACGUCAGGUCGAGGUGUAGCGUACGGAGUAGGAAGAAAUGGGCUACAUUAUCUGAACAAGAUUAUUCACGGAGAGUCAUCUGAAACCCGAUGACUUGAAGGUGGAUUUAGCAGUAAGGGGGAAGUAGAGCGCCCCCCUGAAGUCGGCUCUGAAGCGCGCACACACCGCCCGUCACUCUCCCCAACAACACCCCAAUUGGAUAAUUAACACAACAAUAGAGACAAGGGGAGGCAAGUCGUAACAUGGUAAGUGUACCGGAAGGUGCACUUGGACUAAC
rnacentral:rRNA from 1 species